rnacentral:rRNA from 1 species
UACGAAGGGGGCUAGCGUUGCUCGGAAUCACUGGGCGUAAAGGGGUGCGUAGGCGGGGUCUUUAAGUCAGGGGGUGAAAUCCUGGAGCUCAACUCCAGAACUGCCUUUGAUACUGAGGAUCUUGAGUUCGGGAGAGGUGAGUGGAAACUGCGAGUGUAGAGGUGAAAUUCGUAGAUAUUCGCAAGAACACCAGUGGCGAAGGCGGCUCACUGGCCCGAUACUGACGCUGAGGCACGAAAGCGUGGGUAGCAAACAGGGA